AAGAAUCAUAGAGGUUGCUGCUGACAUUAGUCGCUUGCGGAGUGCUUACAGGCACAAUGAAACAGGUUAAAGGGGAUGUAGCCGAAGCAUUGGUGCUGUGACACCAAGUAGCUGGGCCAAUCGGUGAAAAAUCGUUGGACUGUCGCGUAAGCGGGGUGCUAUGUUAUAG
rfam:Leuconostoc mesenteroides subsp. mesenteroides ATCC 8293, complete genome.